rnacentral:lncRNA from 1 species
ACCUCAGGUGAUCCUCCUGCCUUGGCCUUCCAAGGUGCUGGGAUUGCAGGCAUGAGCCGCCACGCCCAAGCAAAUCUUAAUAUUUUUAAAAAGCACUUUAAACCUCAAAAAUCCUCUAAAAGGGUCUUGGGAACCUUCAGAGACAUACAUGUAUGUUUAUUGUGGCACUACUCACAAUAGCAAAGACUUGGAACCAAGCCAAAUGUCCAACAAUGAUAGGCUGGAUUAAGAAAAUGUGGCACAUAUACACCAUGGAAUACUAUGCAGCCAUAAAAAAGGAUGAGUUCAUGUCCUUUGUAGGGACAUGGAUGAAGCUGGAAACCACCA